GAUGAACGCUGGCGGCGUGCUUAACACAUGCAAGUCGAACGGAAAGGCUCCUGCUUGCAGGGGUACUCGAGUGGCGAACGGGUGAGUAACACGUGGGUGAUCUGCCCUGCACUUCGGGAUAAGCCUGGGAAACUGGGUCUAAUACCGGAUAGGACCACAUUUUGCAUGGGGUGGUGGAAAGUUUUUCGGUGUGGGAUGAGCUCGCGGCCUAUCAGCUUGUUGGUGGGGUAAUGGCCUACCAAGGCGUCGACGGGUAGCCGGCCUGAGAGGGUGUACGGCCACAUUGGGACUGAGAGACGGCCCAGAAUACUACGGGAGGCAGAAGGGGAAAAUAUUGCAGAAUGGGCGCAAGCAUGAUGCAGCGGCGCCGCGUGGGGGAUGACGGCCUUCGGGGUGUAAACUCCUUUCGAUAGGGACGAAGCGCAAGUGACGGUACCUGGAGAAGAAGCACCGGCUAACUACGUG
rnacentral:rRNA from 1 species